rnacentral:tRNA from 2 species
GCCCUUAUAGUGUAUCGGAAUUAACACGACGGUCUUCGGAACCGUAGAGCCGGGUUCGACUCCUGGUAGGGGUAC